GUGCUGAUCAGACAGGAUUUUCUGCUGCAUCAUGCACAGCUCUGAUCUGCCUCUGAAAUAGCAGCAGAACUCACAGAGCAAGAUUUCACAGAUACCUGAACCGCUCUGUACUUAUAAAUCAGACUGCAGCAGAAGUUCCAAGAAAUUGCAGCUGGCCAACUGUGGACUGAGACAUCUGAAACUGUAAACCCAAGAAAGCAGCUGUUGCAGGGAGAAAUGCCUUACUGGAAGAGCAUGGACCAGCACCUUGACCUAUGGAGACCUGACUCAGUGGCCCUAUCCCACCUGACAUAAGGCAGUGUCCCUGAAGGUGCCUAGUGUUUCCAGUUCUGAAGGUCAGAAGUGUGAGACCAAGGAAUCUGCAGGCCUGAGACUGCAAGGAGAAACUCUUUUGUACUGCACAGACAAUGCCUCCAGUACAAUGAUGAUCAGAAGUUAUGAUCACAGGAACAUAUCACCCACUGCCAUCUGGACGAAAAGCAGAUCCCAACUUCAAUCAGCGUCUUAAUUUACGGACAUAAUAUCCAAAGAAGAAAGAUACUUCAUCUCCUCUUUCUUCCAUGGAGAAUCAAGCUAACCACUGAGGGCUCUAGAUCAGUGAUGGCUGUCAAUUCUGGAUGUCUGGAAAUGGCAAGAAAAGAAUCUACAUACACAAACUUCACUAUUUUUACUAUAUGACCUAUAUCUACUGUUUAUUCACCCAUCCUACAAGUUGUCACCCCUAGAGACUCAAAACCUUUUUCUUUUUUCUGUAAUUCUCUAAGACUUUACUGGUCUUUGUUGAAGAUGCUACGUAACCCAGGAUCCAAGGGUACCUGUUUGAAAACUACUCAUCCCCUAGGUAUUGCCCAUGGAUAUAUGAAAUGUGCAUGUUGAGAAACUUCUGCUUGUGUUUCUCUUGAUAAUCU
rnacentral:lncRNA from 1 species